rnacentral:lncRNA from 1 species
ACAAUCUGAUAAUAGAGGAGUUUAUACAAUGGCUUACAAUGGCCUUAUAAAAGACAUGACAUUGCUUCUUUAUUAUAUAGAAUCAACAAAAGAAAUUUGCAAAUAACCACCUGGAACACAAGACUUUUUGAAAAGGUGAUCAGCUAUUAUUCUCCAACUUGCUACUUACUACUUACAACAUUAAUCCAAAUCCAUAAAAUGACACCUUAGUAGCUUGGACCUUUCUCCA